rnacentral:rRNA from 1 species
UACGGGGGGGGGUAAGCGUUGUUCGGAAUUACUGGGCGUAAAGAGCUCGUAGGCGGCUUGUCGCGUCGUCUGUGAAAUCCCGCGGCUCAACCGCGGGUCUGCAGUCGAUACGGGCAGGCUAGAGUUCGGUAGGGGAGACUGGAAUUCCUGGUGUAGCGGUGAAAUGCGCAGAUAUCAGGAGGAACACCGGUGGCGAAGGCGGGUCUCUGGGCCGAUACUGACGCUGAGGAGCGAAAGCGUGGGGAGCAAACAGG